rnacentral:rRNA from 1 species
CCUCGGCGGAAGAUUACUAAUGAGAGUGGCGAACGGGUGAGUAACACGUGAGUAACCUGCCUUAGACAUUGGGAUAGCCUCGGGAAACCGGGAUUAAUACCAAAUGAAAUCACAUAUGCACAUGCAUAAAUGAUCAAAGCUCCGGCGGUCUAAGAUGGACUCGCGUCCCAUUAGCUAGUUGGUGAGGUAACGGCCCACCAAGGCGACGAUGGGUAGCCGGCCUGAGAGGGUGAACGGCCACAUUGGAACUGAGAAACGGUCCAAACUCCUACGGGAGGCAGCAGUGGGGAAUAUUGCACAAUGGAGGGAACUCUGAUGCAGCGACGCCGCGUGAACGAAGAAGGCUUUCGAGUCGUAAAGUUCUUUUAUAUGGGAAGAUAAUGACGGUACCAUAAGAAAAAGCCCCGGCUAACUACGUGCCAGCAGCCGCGGUAAUACGUAGGGGGCUAGCGUUGUCCGGAAUCACUGGGCGUAAAGGGUUCGCAGGCGGAAAUGCAAGUCAGGUGUAAAAGGCAGUAGCUUAACUACUGUAAGCAUUUGAAACUGCAUAUCUUGAGAAGAGUAGAGGUAAGUGGAAUUUUUAGUGUAGCGGUGAAAUGCGUAGAUAUUAAAAAGAAUACCGGUGGCGAAGGCGACUUACUGGGCUCAUUCUGACGCUGAGGAACGAAAGCGUGGGUAGCAAACAGGAUUAGAUACCCUGGUAGUCCACGCUGUAAACGAUGAGUGCUAGGUAUCGGAAUAAUUCGGUGCCGCAGUUAACACAUUAAGCACUCCGCCUGGGGAGUACGUGCGCAAGCA